UCCGGUUUAACACCGGCAGUCUCCGUAGAGUGCCCAACUAAAUGAUGGCAACUACGGACAAGGGUUGCGCUCGUUAAGGGACUUAACCCGACAUCUCACGAUACGAGCUGACGACAGCCAUGCAGCACCUGUCUCACUGUCCCCGAAGGGAAAACCGUAUCUCUACGGCUGUCAGUGGAUGUCAAACCCAGGUAAGGUUCUUCGCGUUGCAUCGAAUUAAACCACAUGCUCCACCGCUUGUGCGGGCCCCCGUCAAUUCCUUUGAGUUUUAACCUUGCGGCCGUACUUCCCAGGCGGGGUACUUAAUGCGUUAGCUACGGCACUGCAGGGGUCAAUUCCCGCAACACCUAGUACCCAUCGUUUACAGCGUGGACUAC
rnacentral:misc_RNA from 1 species